rnacentral:rRNA from 1 species
UACGAAGGGGGCUAGCGUUGCUCGGAAUUACUGGGCGUAAAGCGUGCGCAGGCGGUUCGCUAAGACAGAUGUGAAAUCCCCGGGCUUAACCUGGGAACUGCAUUUGUGACUGGCGGCUAGAGUAUGGCAGAGGGGGGUAGAAUUCCACGUGUAGCAGUGAAAUGCGUAGAGAUGUGGAGGAAUACCGAUGGCGAAGGCAGCCCCCUGGGCCAAUACUGACGCUCAUGCACGAAAGCGUGGGGAGCAAACAGG